GGAAUAUUUACUUACAUUAAUAAAUGAUGACAUCAAAACGCAAGAUACUAUUUUACGAGAUGCUAUACCUGCUAGAGACAAGUUGCAAGUUACAUUAAGAUUUUUAGCCACCGGAGAAAGUUUCCGCUCAUUAAUGUACAGUAGCCGAAUUCAUGAAAGUACAAUAUCCAAAUUUAUUCCCCUUGUAUUGGAUGCAAUUAUUAAACAUUUAAAACCCUUGUAUCUAAAGACUCCAUCUACAGUAAGAGAGUGGGAAAUUGUUGCAAAAGAAUUUGAAGAAUUAUGGCAAUUUCCACAAUGUUUAGGUGCUUUGGAUGGA